rnacentral:rRNA from 1 species
UACGGAGGAUCCAAGCGUUACCCGGAUUUAUUGGGUUUAAAGGGUGCGUAGGUGGCCUGUUAAGUCAGGGGUGAAAGACGGUAGCUUAACUAUCGCAGUGCCCUUGAUACUGAUGGGCUUGAAUGAACUAGAGGUAGGCGGAAUGUGACAAGUAGCGGUGAAAUGCAUAGAUAUGUCACAGAACACCAAUUGCGAAGGCAGCUUACUAUGGUUUUAUUGACACUGAGGCACGAAAGCGUGGGGAUCAAACAGG